rnacentral:rRNA from 2 species
UGGCUCAGGACGAACGCUGGCGGCGUGCCUAAUACAUGCAAGUCGAACGAGUUCUCGUUGAUGAUCGGUGCUUGCACCGAGAUUCAACAUGGAACGAGUGGCGGACGGGUGAGUAACACGUGGGUAACCUGCCCUUAAGUGGGGGAUAACAUUUGGAAACAGAUGCUAAUACCGCAUAGAUCCAAGAACCGCAUGGUUCUUGGCUGAAAGAUGGCGUAAGCUAUCGCUUUUGGAUGGACCCGCGGCGUAUUAGCUAGUUGGUGAGGUAAUGGCUCACCAAGGCGAUGAUACGUAGCCGAACUGAGAGGUUGAUCGGCCACAUUGGGACUGAGACACGGCCCAA